rnacentral:rRNA from 1 species
UCUCAAAGAUUAAGCCAUGCAUGUCUCAGUGCAGGCCUUCAUACGGUGAAACCGCGAAUGGCUCAUUAAAUCAGCUAUGGUUUAUUGGAUCGUACCCGUUAAAUGGAUAACUGUAAUAACUCUAGAGCUAAUACAUGCCUCGAUGCCCUGACUCUCUGGGUGCCGUCUCUCACUAGGUGGUGGUUGCUUGGAGAGGAAGGGUGCACUUAUUAGAUCAGAAGCCAACCUUGUUUGGCCUGUAUGGUUGUAAUGCCUAACGGUGGUUACAGCUGUGGGCCAAGCAUGAUGACCUUCUGGUGACUCUGGAUAAUUGUUACAGAUCGCAGUCGACCUUGAGUCGGCGACGGGUCCUUCAAAUGUCUGCCCUAUCAACUUUCGAUGGUAGGUGACCUGCCUACCAUGGUUAUAACGGGUAACGGGGAAUCAGGGUUCGAUUCCGGAGAGGGAGCCUGAGAAACAGCUACCACUUCCAAGGGAGGCAGCAGGCGCGCAAAUUACCCACUCCCGGCACGGGGAGGUGGUGACGAAAAAUACCGAUGCGGGACUCCUAAAAGAGGCUCCGUAAUCGGAAUGAGUGGACUAUAAAUCCUUUCACGAGGAUCCAUUGGAGGGCAAGUCUGGUGCCAGCAGCCG